UACGUAGGGUGCAAGCGUUAAUCGGAAUUACUGGGCGUAAAGCGUGCGCAGGCGGUUUUGUAAGUUUGUCGUGAAAUCCCCGGGCUCAACCUGGGAAUGGCGAUGAAGACUGCAAGGCUAGAGUUUGGCAGAGGGGGGUAGAAUUCCACGUGUAGCAGUGAAAUGCGUAGAGAUGUGGAGGAACACCGAUGGCGAAGGCAGCCCCCUGGGUCAAGAUUGACGCUCAUGCACGAAAGCGUGGGGAGCAAACAGG
rnacentral:rRNA from 1 species